UACGUAGGGUGCAGGCGUUAAUCGGAAUUACUGGGCGUAAAGCGUGCGUAGGCGGUUUGUUAAGUCAGGUGUGAAAUCCCCGGGCUUAACCUGGGAACUGCGCUUGUUACUGGCAGACUUGAGUGUGGCAGAGGGGGGUGGAAUUCCACGUGUAGCAGUGAAAUGCGUAGAGAUGUGGAGGAACACCGAUGGCGAAGGCAGCCCCCUGGGCUAACACUGACGCUGAUGCACGAAAGCGUGGGGAGCAAACAGG
rnacentral:rRNA from 1 species